rnacentral:rRNA from 1 species
UACGUAGGGUGCGAGCGUUGUCCGGAAUUACUGGGCGUAAAGAGCUCGUAGGUGGUUUGUCGCGUUGUUCGUGAAAUCUCACGGCUUAACUGUGAGCGUGCGGGCGAUACGGGCAGACUAGAGUACUGCAGGGGAGACUGGAAUUCCUGGUGUAGCGGUGGAAUGCGCAGAUAUCAGGAAGAACACCAAUGGCGAAAGCAGCUUUCUGGGACGGUACUGACGCUGAGACGCGAAAGCGUGGGGAGCGAACAGG